GACACUGUCGCUCAGUGGUUAGAGUGUUGGCCUUGUAAACCAGAGAUCUCGAGUUCUGUCCUUGCCUGGGCCU
rnacentral:tRNA from 1 species